UACGGAGGGUGCAAGCGUUGUCCGGAUUUAUUGGGUUAAAGGGUGCGUAGGCGGCCCUGUAAGUCAGUGCUGAAAUAUCCCGGCUUAACCGGGAGGGUGGCAUUGAUACUGCGGGGCUAGAGUACAGAUGAGGUAGGCGGAAUUGACGGUGUAGCGGUGAAAUGCUUUAGAUAUCGUCAAGAACACCUAUAGCGAAGGCAGCUUACUAGGCUGUAACUGACGCUGAGGCACGAAAGUGUGGGGAUCAAACAGG
rnacentral:rRNA from 1 species